rnacentral:rRNA from 1 species
UCAUUAGAUACCCCGGUAGUCCACACGGUAAACGAUGAAUACUCGCUGUUUGCGAUAUACGGCAAGCGGCCAAGCGAAAGCGUUAAGUAUUCCACCUGGGGAGUACGCCGGCAACGGUGAAACUCAAAGGAAUUGACGGGGGCCCGCACAAGCGGAGGAACAUGUGGUUUAAUUCGAUGAUACGCGAGGAACCUUACCCGGGCGAAGGCAGGUCUGGUGACUGGGGUGAAGUCGUAACAAGGUACC